GCACAAGAUUAUCUGCCCUGUGGUUUGGUCCACUAAGACAAACUGGAAUUUGUGACUCUUUCAUAUAUACGAACUGAUGAAGAGUCAGACCUCAAAGCUUGAGCUCUGGACAAGUGUGUAGAAAGAAACCAAGACUUAGCCAAAAGAAAUCAGACCUCCUUGCACUGAUAGAAUGGACCAAAGCAGGAUGGACCGCACAGGAGAGAAUUGCAGAGCCUAGAGCUGAGGAACACAGGUCAACUGAACUGUGCUCUCAACCACACUGGCCCAGGAAGACCACCACUUCCUCAGGAUGGUGGAGCUGCAGAAAGACACGUACGCGGGCUACAGGUCCUUGAUGCACCCUUGCUGACCCUGCUUCAACCAACAGAAUGUUGCAGAAGUGAAGCUACGCCAGUUCUGGGCUUAAACGUCAAUCAGGCCUAGCAACUUCUCUUCUGUCUGGAUGAAGGUAGACACAGCAUAAGAACUACCUGUGACCAUGAUGCUCUGAGAAGCCAGCCUAACUAUGUGCAGAGGCCACAUGGAGGAAAACUGAGGCCUCCAGCCCACAGCCCCAGCUGAAUUUCUAGAUGCAAUCAGCACUAACCUGCCAGCUAUGAGUGAGGCCAUCUUUGAAGUGGAUCCCUCAGCCCCACUCAAGCCACCCAGAUGAUGCCAUAUGAACUGCCCCUGCCGAGCCCUGCCCAGAUUGCAGAAUCAUGAGAAAAUAAAUUAAAAAGGCUUUGUUUAAGUCAGUAAGUUUAGGGUUAAUUUUUUUGGACAGCAACAGAUAACCAAAGCAGAAUUCUAGUCUCAGCUUAAACACUUUUAGGAACAGAAGACUCCAUGCCUCGUAAAGUAAUCCAUUCUGUUUCUUAAUAGCAAUAGUUAUUAGAACAUUGUUCUCUAUAUUUAACAAAAAUCUGCCUUCCCAUCACUCACAACCUGUCUCUAUGGUAAAGUCAGUCUGUGUGCCUGCCACAUGGCAGCUCUUCCAGUUUUUUUCAAAGAGUCAUGGUCUUUAUUCACCACACCUCCAGUUCCCAUUGCACCCUGCACACCCAGGGUGCACAUGAACAAGUCUUUUCUUUCUAGACAUAAAUAUCUCCAACUCCUUCAUGUCCCGAUUCUUUCCCUAAACAGCUCAAACUCUUAUUAGUAAACCAGAUGCUACCUAGAAACACAUGUGGGACCCCCAUCACUG
rnacentral:lncRNA from 1 species